GUUUCUUAGACUGUGGCUGGGGUGGGCGAAUCACUGAAUCAGAGUGGGCAAAUCAUUCUUAGGAAAAAAAAUAGCACUCUUUCUGUUCUAUGCGUUAUGAUUUAGAAGACUCUGAAGAACCCUUGUCAUGACGCACUCUCUAAAACCCUCUUUAAAAUUCAGCUGGAAAGGCCCAGGGAAAAGAUAUACAGGCCUUUAUAGAGAGCAGAAGAGCCAGAGACAUUCACCAGGACGGUGCCAGAGGGAAUGCUCCAUGCAAAUGUGUUUAAAGUCCCAGGGAAUAGGGAACCCGAGGAGAAGGAGAGAGAUGAGGGACCAGCCACUCAGUGGAGGAGGCAGAAUACAUACAACAUUCAUUGAUGAAGUUUGCCAUCUUAUACGGGCACAGUUUGUGGUGCCGCAAAACAAUUACAAUGGUGACAUUAAAGAUUAUUGAUCACAGAUCACUAUAACAGAUAUAAUGAUGAAAAAGUUUGAAAUAUUAUGAGAAUUAUCAGAAUAUAACACCAAGACAACGUGGGCGCAUGCUGUUGGAAAAACGACGCUGAUAGACUCGUUUGACAUCGGGUUGCCAGAAACCUUUGUUAUAAAAAAUGCCACAUUUGUGAAGCACAGUAAAGUGGAGAACACUGAAAUGAGGUGUGCCUGCACAUUAUUUAGCUCUGCCUGAGUUUUGAACUUUAUAUAAUGGAGUCAUACUGUAUAUUUUCUUCUGUGCCUUGCUUCUUUUGCUCAAUAAUAUAUUUGUUGGAUUCAUCUAUUUUUAAUGUGAGUGGUUGUAGUUCAUUCAUUCUCACUUCUAAAUAAUAUUUCAAUGUGUGAAUAUACUGCAAUUUAUUUGCCCAGUCUACUGCUGGUAGAAAUUUGGGUUUGGGCUAUUAUGAAUGUUGCUGUGAAUAUGGAUUUAUGAAACUCCAGGUUUCUACUCCAAAUGUAGCCCUCAGAACAGUGGCUUUGAAAUCAAAUGCAGAUUUUUCAGGGUCCUAUCCCAGAUCUACUGAAUUAGAAUUUGCAUACUAGCAAAAUUGUAUGCACAUUAGAGUUUGAUAAGCACCGCUCUAUGUACCUAGGUUUACACUGAGAAGUAGAAUUGCUGAAUCCUAAGGUGACCAUAUAUUAAAUCUUACAACGAACAGGCAAAACUCUUUACCAAAAUGAUUACGCCAGUUCCCACUUGUGGGAAGUAGAAAAUUUCCUUUUUAAAGCUUCCUUUCUUGUUAAAUAAUAAGAGCGCUAAUAACUUUAAGUUCUAUCCUAUGUAGCUGUUAGACAUGCCAUGCUUACAAGCAUGUAGUAUAUUCUAUGUUCUUGUACUUUAACCAAAAUAUCUGUGCUGGACGUGCUCACAGGCAUGUCCCAGCUCUUCGUUGCUUUUACCUAUUUAGAAAAGUUUUAAGUUAUUAGCCAAUCAGGUUUUAGUUUAAAUUGUGAGGUCU
rnacentral:lncRNA from 13 species